ACGAAACGACAAAAUGACAGUUUAGCAAGACAACGUUUUUAUUCCAGUGGCUUGAUAGGAAUCUCAAUGAAUUCAUAUGGAAAGUGUAAUGAAUAUUAAUAAUAGUCAGAACCCAGGUUCUUCAUAAAACUUUAAAAUUUUUCCAAUAUUUUCUUGCGUUGACUUUAGAAAAUAUUGCAAUUUCGCCUCUUCAUAUAAACAGCCCGCGGGAGGCGGCGCCACAAAGUGGCAAUAUUCUAUCUCGACGGGGCUCCUCAAACAAGGGGACACGAGAGGGACAGUUUAAUUAACAUAAAACCAAGAGCGACAAGGAUGGUUUCAAGUUAUUAAUUGGAGAGAAUUGACGGAAGUGCACGCAGAGUCGUGUUUUUGACAAAUUCCGCUUUGAUACAGCUAUUAUUUUCACCUCAACGCUUCAAGGGUCGACCCUUAAAAGUGACUCGAGGAAAAUGGAGUUUUGUGAAGAUUUUUAGAUACCCUUUUAUUGACGCUUAGGCGAUUGACUCAGAAGAACAUGCUUGCUACAUCAAGCACGGCUUCCACGUUCUCGUAACUUUCCAUGCUGAAGGAAUAUAAUCGUACUCAAAACAAAAAACGAAUAAUCGCUAGAUACAAAACGUGAUCGCAAACAACUAUCAGUUCCGGAGAACCUGUGAUAAAAAUGUGCCAAAUAAGGAUCAGCAUAUUAAAUGGCGUUAGAUGCGUCAUAAUUGUAAUGUUAAUUGUGAUACGUAAUGAUAAUAGGAAUUUGAAAUUUCCGCCACAAAAUAAAACGAAAAUAAUGAGACAACAAAAUUUUUUGAAAUCAAAUGAUCAAAUGAAUUACGUAUAAUUAAAAAGAAAAUAUUAUUUCGCAUUCUAGUUUACUUUUUAAUAUGGUCAGUUUUUUUUUUUGGUUAAAUAUUUUAUUGUUUCACUUACAUUUUUAUUUACUUUUGUUUUACUUGUUAUUUCUAUGUAUCAAUAUCUUAUAAUCGGAUCUACA